GAAGCAAUCGGUUCCGCAAUCAGAUUCAUCAUAUUUCACUUUGUGUGAGUUGGUCGCGCACAAUUAUACGUCAGCCGGCGUCGUGCCGAUUUGCGCAACUGUCGUUGUGAGGGGAUCCAUCGGAAUGUUGUGUAACGAACACCGGUAACUAUUAAAUCAUUGGCAUCCCUUUCAACUUUUGCGCACUCCUUAGCUUCCGGACAGA
ensembl:ncRNA F54G2.3 ncRNA